rnacentral:lncRNA from 1 species
GUGCUCCUCAACAGUGGCUGUCAAGGGAUGAGAUCUGGAUGGUAAGCUGAUGGAACGAGAAUGAGCACUAACUUUUGUGGUUGCAAUUGAGGCUGCCAUUUUUAUUUGCAGGAGGAAUUAGAUGCCAAUGAAAAUCCUGAACUCAAGGUUUGUUUGAUUGAACUCUCACCUUGGCACCUUUUUAUAAACUAUGAGGAGACAAAAGGAAUCAACCUAAUUUCCUUCAUGUGCUGAACAGAGAAACAGGCCAAGUAUCAGAAAAUGCAGAUCUCAAUUGUAGCAGUGUCUGUGGGAGGAGGAACAUUUGCUUGGCACAAAAUAAUAUAAUAUGCAAGAAACCAGGCUGGCGUUCAUCUGCAAAUUUUGGUAAGUUUUCUAAUAUGAAAACAAGUUAAGACCAGGGGUAUAAUUUUGCAUCUCAUGUGUUAUAUAUUAAAGUUGUCUUGAAAUUCAUAUACAUUGCAUUAUUUUUUGCAUCUUGUUGUUAGACAUGUUGUAUAUUAUUGUUAAGUAAAACAGCGCAUGAAUGGCUUGGCAUUUUUUUUAUGCAUAGAAUUAGUGAGGGCCUUUAUUGCUCCAUUCGGUCUCUAGCGAUGCAGAGCUGAACACUUGAGAUCUGUCAUUAUGUGUACUGGGUAGACAGAAGGAAUCUGAACAGCCUGCAGUCAGUUUGCAAGAACCAUUAAGGUGUGACUAGGUGUCCUGGUAACUAGGGGCUGAGGGCAAAACAGGCUAGAAUAGGGAUUAGUGACUCGGGUUGACCUAGCAAUGCAGUUUGUAAAAUUUUGUGUGUGAUUACUAUAUUAUAGUUUGAUUAUAUAUCUGGAUGAUCUGAAUUUUAAAGCUAUUUGCACUCAAAUCGCAAUUAAUCUUCUGUGUAUGUUUAUAUUAAUAUGAAUUGCCACCCGGAUCCGGUCUACUUCUAGUUUACAUUAGAUAGAUAAUUACAGUAUUGAUUGCCAGAAAAGAAUUGGGGAAGGGUAUAACUCCUUUUUAGACCCUGCACUGCGUUCUUAUUUGCGGUUUUGGGAUAGUGUGAUGGGUAUGAGCAGGAUCCUGCUGCAGAAAUAUAUAUAUUUUGCAAAUUGUGUUGUUGAUGAAAUAUACGCGAAACUGAAUAUUGACUUUAAACAGUCGUUUUCGCAAUCUUUCUCGUUGAUAAUAUACUAGCUUCAUAUACAGUCUGUCCUCAUGUAUGUACAAAAACUGAUCCCUCACAAAAAUUCGGGGAUGCAGUAACAGUCUAUCUAAUAUACAGUUCUGUUGGAAAAGAACUAGUGGUUGAGCACAUUGAGAAUUAAUACUCGUGUCUUGAUCAAUGAUCGGACUAGACAGUCUAAUUGUUCUUCACAUUCUUGCAUAUUCAUGUCCAAUGCCGUCAGACAUUUCUGAACGUCUUGUGUUUCUGUGAUAUCACUUUUUUUGCUUGAUUUCUUGCUGAUAGCUUCUAAAGCCAUAUCCAUGUUGUGAACUUGGUUGAUAAUUUCUUCUGUGUCCUCUUCACAAUGUACACGCUUGGACUGUGUUGACUUGAAAACCUUUGACCAUGUGCUUUUUGUCGAUGCUUCCUUUGCAGGACAGAUGGAUGAGAAGAUAGACUCGAAAACUGAGAUGCUGACUUCUUCGACUUCCCUUAGAAGGCUCACGAUAGCAGGAGUCUCGAUGCUUUUGUUAAUUUUGGACUUCUUAGAACCAGCAAAGCACUUGGAGAGCAUUCUGUUUGCCUUUUUCUUACAUACCAGGUAGCUUGCGAUUCUGCUUGAUACAUCAGUUUGUCUUCUACGUAGAGAGGAUUCUAGAUCUUGAACUGAAUCUCUCAUAUGCGAGAGAGCAUCUUUUGAGGUGCUGCACAGAUCCAAUAACCUAAUGGACCCGCAAAGAAUAUCUUCUCCGCAGCUCAAACGAUCUUGCUGUGCGGCUUGCGAUUGGAUCAAAUCUUCUACACACUCAUAUAAGUCUUGAAGAGCGGAUAAUUUGUCGCAUUUGGAUACUGUCGAUGAGGAUGUCCCUUCCGGGGUCCUUAAUCUGCACAAGUGCUCCUCAACAGUGGCUGUCAAGGGAUGAGAUCUGGAUGGUAAGCUGAUGGAACGAGAAUGAGCACUAACUUUUGUGGUUGCAAUUGAGGCUGCCAUUUUAUUUGCAGGAGGAAUUAGAUGCCAAUGAAAAUCCUAAACUCAAGGUUUGUUUGAUUGAACUCUCACGUUGGCACCUUUUUAUAAACUAUGAGGAGACAAAAGGACUCAACCUAAUUUCCUUCAUGUGCUGAACAGAGAAACAGGCCAAGUAUCAGAAAAUGCAGAUCUCAAUUGUAGCAGUGUCUGUGGGAGGAGGAACAUUUGCUUGGCUUAAAUUAAUAAUGGACCAGGCUGGCGAUCAUCUUCAAAUUUUGGUAAGUUUAUUGAUAUGAAGAUAAAAUGAGACAAUGCGUAUAAUUUGUCCAUUGGUAUGUUAUAUAUAAAAGCUGUCUUCCUAUCCAUGUACAUUGCAUCAUUUGUCUCAUCUUGUUACAAAUGUUAAUAUUAGAAAAUACAACCGUGCUUGAAUGGCUUGGAUAUUUUAUCAGAGAAUUGGAGGGGGCCUUUAUUGUUGCAUGUGAUUUUUAACUAUGCAGAAAUGAACUCUUAUGAUCUGUCUUUAAUUAUGUUGGCUGGACUGGAGGAAUCGGUAGAGCCUGCAAUUAGUCCUUAAAAUGAUAUAUGCAGGUCAUUAUUUAUUAUUAAGAAUUAAAAAGAGGUUAGAGCAGGGACCAGUCAGAUAGUUGACCUAGUGUUGCAGUUCACAAAGUUGUGGAAGUACAAUAUUUGAGCUUUGGUUAUUAAUAUCUGUUAUUUUCUUGCUAAAACUAUUUUGCUGCAUAAUAUCCGUGACUUUUAUCUAGGAAACUCUGUCUAUAUGUAUUAUAUUAUGCUUUUUAACACGAUUCCUGCCUAGCUCAUGUUUUACUGCUAAUGGAAAGUUGCUGUCUGAAUCUGCAAAUAAAAAAGAAAGAAUAUUAAGUACCAUUGUAUAAUUGCCUUGCAACUUUUUUAUUAUUAUUAACGAUUGAUUAAAAAGGGACAAACUAAUUCCGCAAAUGGUAGACUUUUUUUAUCUUUUUUGAAGAAAAUCGAAACUUGAUAUGCAAUCAUCGUUGCAUAAUCUUUUCACUUUAAUUUUACUAUAAGUCAUGUAUAGUUUCUAUAUAUUCAUUUACAUCAACUCUUUUGUCACAAUUUUUUGGAUGCAGUACAAUACCACAAUCCUACCUAAUAUAAGGUUGUUUUUAGAAAGAAUUGGUUGAGCACAUUCGAUCAGACAUCUCUAGAUGUAUCGUGCUCCUGAUGCCAUUUCUUAUUCUUUUGAAUUUCCGAGCCAUGUCCAUUUUUUGAAUUUGCUCGAAAUUUUGUCUCUGUCCACUUGAUGUUGUACACAUUUGGCUUGUGUUUACUGGAAGUUUUCUUUUAAUGUUUGCUUUACAGAACAGAUGGAAGAGAAGAUUGAGCUGAAUACUGUUAUGCUGACUUCUUUAACGUCUCUCAGAAUGCUCAUUUGCAGGAGUCUUGAUGCUUCUAAUCAGAAGCUCUUGUUUGCGAUAAAGCAUGGUUUUAGGUGCUGCAUAAAUCAAAUGAACUAAUAGACAUGUUAAGAAUAUCUUUUCCUUUUAACUUUUUUUUAGCGGCUGGUAGUUCGAGGGUCUUACACACUCAAGCAAGUUGUGCAGCGCAAUAAUUUGUUGCAAUCAGAUAUUCUGAAGUAUACACACACACACACACACACACACAUACUUAUUAUUUCCAUAUUCUAUUCACUACUGACAGUCUGAGGGAUAAUUUUUGGAUGGAAAGCUCAUGGAACGAAAAUGAACAGUCUUUUCUUGACCAUGAUCCUUGCAAGUACAUUAGAUGCCCAUGAAUGCUAAACUCAACUUUAGUUUGAUAAACCUCUUCUAUAAGUGCCCUGUGUGUGUUUUUCUAGAGAGAAAAUGAACAUAUUGUUGUAACUUGAUAUUUCCAAUGUGUUCAACAUUGAAACUUGC